rnacentral:rRNA from 1 species
GAUCCUGGCUCAGGAUGAACGCUAGCUACAGGCUUAACACAUGCAAGUCGAGGGGAAACGACAUUGAAAGCUUGCUUUUGGUGGGCGUCGACCGGCGCACGGGUGAGUAACGCGUAUCCAACCUGCCCAUCACUUGGGAAUAACCUUGCGAAAGUAAGACUAAUGCCCAAUGAUAUCCCACGAAGGCAUCCGAAUGGGAUUAAAGAUUUAUCGGUGAUGGAUGGGGAUGCGUCUGAUUAG